UAACGCGUGAGGAACCUGCCUCAAAGAGGGGGACAACAGUUGGAAACGACUGCUAAUACCGCAUAAGCCCACAGCUCGGCAUCGAGCAGAGGGAAAAGGAGUGAUCCGCUUUGAGAUGGCCUCGCGUCCGAUUAGCUAGUUGGUGAGGCAAUGGCCCACCAAGGCGACGAUCGGUAGCCGGACUGAGAGGUUGAACGGCCACAUUGGGACUGAGACACGGCCCAG
rnacentral:rRNA from 1 species